rnacentral:rRNA from 1 species
UACGUAGGGUGCAAGCGUUGUCCGGAAUUAUUGGGCGUAAAGAGCUCGUAGGCGGUUUGUCGCGUCUGCUGUGAAAACCCGAGGCUCAACCUCGGGCCUGCAGUGGGUACGGGCAGACUAGAGUGCGGUAGGGGAGACUGGAAUUCCUGGUGUAGCGGUGAAAUGCGCAGAUAUCAGGAGGGAACACCGGUGGGCGAAGGCGGGGUCUCUGGGCCGUAACUGACGCUGGAGGAGCGAAAGCCGUGGGGAGCGAACAGG